AUGCCCUACGAUGAGCGGUACACACCCUACAUCCAGCAGGCAAGACUCCUCCCAUGGAUUCAGUUGGUCAGCCGGUCCACGCCGAACCUCAACGCUCCACUAGUGUCCUCUCUUGCUGAUCGGUGGAGGCUGGAGACGCACAUUUUCCAUCUUCGGACUGGGGAUAUGACCGUGACGCUCGAGGAUGCCGCCUUGAUCAUUGGGCUUCCUAUCGACGGGAGACCUCUAUGUAUGAGCACCAAUUCUGAUGGGUGGCGCGAGCAGAUGAUUGCUCUUGUCGGUAUGGCUCCUACCGAGGCUAAGGCUGAUGUAGAUGAGGGAGAAGAGAAUAAGAAGGAAAGGAAAGCAGCAGGGGCUGCUUUCACGUGGAUUCAGGAACACUUUGCCAAUUGCCCCGCAGAUGCCACUGAUGAUGUGAUCCAGACACAUGCUCGUGUCUAUAUGUGGUACGUUGUCUCGAGGACUUUGUUUCCUAACUCCAUGUGCAAGAACGCUCCAUGGAUGUGGCUGAAGGCAUUGACCGUCUUCGAUAGCAAAUGGAGCUUGGGUUCAGUGACUCUUUGA
rnacentral:rRNA from 1 species